GACGAACGCUGGCGGCGUGCCUAAUACAUGCAAGUCGAGCGCUGAGGGCUGGUCCUUGUACCAACUGGAUGAGCAGCGAACGGGUGAGUAACGCGUGGGGAAUCUGCCUUUGAGCGGGGGACAACAUUUGGAAACGAAUGCUAAUACCGCAUAAAAACUUUAAACACAAGGUUUAAGUUUGAAAGACGCAAUUGCAUGACGUAAAGGUGAUCCCCCGGUGUCUUAGCUAGGUGGUGAGGUAAAGGCGCACCAAGGCGAGGUUACAUAGCCCACCUGAGAGGGCGGGCAGCCCCACUGGGAGUGGGACACGGCACAAACUCCUUGGGGAGGCAGCAGUAGGGGAACUUCGGGCAGGGACGAAAGGCUGAACGCGGAACGCCGGGUGAGUGAAGAAUGUUGUCGGGUCGUAAAACUCGGUUGGUAGGGAAGAACGUUGGUUAGAGUGGAACGCGCAUCAAGUGACGGUAACUAGUCAGAAAGCGACGGCUAACUACGUG
rnacentral:rRNA from 1 species